CACGUAGGGCGCAAGCGUUGUCCGGAAUUAUUGGGCGUAAAGAGCUCGUAGGCGGUCUGUUGCGUCUGCUGUGAAAACCCGGGGCUUAACCCCUGGCUUGCAGUGGAUACGGACAGACUAGAGGUAGGUAGGGGAGAAUGGAAUUCCCGGUGUAGCGGUGAAAUGCGCAGAUAUCGGGAGGAACACCGGUGGCGAAGGCGGUUCUCUGGGCCUUACCUGACGCUGAGGAGCGAAAGCGUGGGGAGCGAACAGG
rnacentral:rRNA from 2 species